rnacentral:rRNA from 1 species
AACGAACGCUGGCGGCAUGCCUAACACAUGCAAGUCGAACGAGACCUUCGGGUCUAGUGGCGCACGGGUGCGUAACGCGUGGGAACCUGCCCUUAGGUUCGGAAUAACUCCCCGAAAGGGGUGCUAAUACCGGAUAAUGUCUUCGGACCAAAGAUUUAUCGCCUUUGGAUGGGCCCGCGUUGGAUUAGCUAGUUGAUAGGGUAAAAGCCUACCAAGGCGACGAUCCAUAGCUGGUCUGAGAGGAUGAUCAGCCACACUGGGACUGAGACACGGCCCAGACUCCUACGGGAGGCGGCAGUGGGGAAUAUUGGACAAUGGGCGAAAGCCUGAUCCAGCAAUGCCGCGUGAGUGAUGAAGGCCUUAGGGUUGUAAAGCUCUUUUACCCGGGAUGAUAAUGACAGUACCGGGAGAAUAAGCUCCGGCUAACUCCGUG